rnacentral:lncRNA from 1 species
CCCAUCUGGGCUGACAAACGAGGGGAGCCGGGCACAGGGCUCCAGCCACAGGUGCUGUCCCCAUGAGGGGAUGGAUGGACAAGGGUGCUGGGGUGGUGAGCACAGUGUUGGUGUUGGACCAUUUCCAAAUGGAUUUUGCAUCUCAGGGAGUCCUUCCCCGUGGGAAGCAGUGCUGGAGCUGGAGUUCAGGCUGGGGUUGCUGGGAGCUGCUCCAAUGUCUGUGGCCAUAGGAAAUCAGUGCAAGCACAAGCAUCCUCAACACUCCUCCUUCCCUUUACACAGGUCUUUGGAUGCUGGUCCUCUGCCUGGAAAAGAGCAAUUCCUGAAAAAUCCUCCUUGCUGACCUGCCUCCCGUGGACACAUUCCUCCAUCUGGGUCUCCAAAACCUGCCUGCUCCAGUGGCAUCGUUCCUGGCCUUCCUGCCUGCAGGAGUAGUAAAGCUGAGCUCGUGUCUGACACGUGGCUGCCCCUGCUCUGAGGGAGGAUCCGUCCCCCUGGCCAUGCAGAGCUGUUUGGAAAGGCUGUGGAGUGCCAGUGAAGGAAAUCAGUGAAGAUGCUAAGGACAAGGCUCCAGCAGUUCUGCCUCCACCCCCAGCCCAGCUGCCCCAUGCCUGGCCAGGCUGAGCAGCCCCCCUGUGUCUGUGGGACAGCCAAGGGGGACACUGAGGGGGACAGAGGCUGUUGGCAGGAGAGGGGGAGCAGAGUGGGGCAGAGCUGCCAUCAGCUCUGGGAUGCUCCAGCCUCUGAGCCAGGAGAGCAGGAGGCACGGACAGGACUGCUGGGAGGGAAAUCCAGUGGCAGCUGCCAGAGGGACCCCAGGGGGCUCAGUGGGGAUGCACCACAACCCCCAUUGAAUGGCAGCAGCCUGGCCUUGGUGGAGGAGCCUGCAGCCCACCCCAAGUGCUCUGGCUCUGCCCCAGAGCUGCCCCUCACAGCAGACAGCCCCACGGGUAACCCCAGCCAGGAGUGGAAAGUGGUAAAGAUCCAACGGGUCAUCAUCAACCCUGACUUUGAGCCAAGGAAAACAGGUCUCUCCCGCAGUGCCAGCCUCUCGGAGAAGGAGCUGAAGGAGGCGAAGGCGCAGAGCCAGAGGAUCGCGGCUCAGCUCACCACGGCGCCCGGCCCCAGCUCCAAGGGUGUCCUGCUGUUCCACCGGCGCAGGCAGCGCGUUGAGGGGCUCACGGGGGCCGGGCAUGGCGGGGGGCUGCCCCUGAGCC